rnacentral:rRNA from 1 species
UACGUAGGGUCCGAGCGUUGUCCGGAAUUAUUGGGCGUAAAGAGCUCGUAGGCGGUCUGUCACGUCGGCUGUGAAAUCCCGAGGCUCAACCUCGGGUCUGCAGUCGAUACGGGCAAACUAGAGUAUUGCAGGGGAGACUGGAAUUCCUGGUGUAGCGGUGAAAUGCGCAGAUAUCAGGAGGAACACCGGUGGCGAAGGCGGGACUCUGGGCCGAUACUGACGCUGAGGAGCGAAAGCGUGGGGAGCGAACAGG